ensembl:lincRNA
GGCACCGUCCUGUCCCAUUGUCUGUUCAGCCUGCAGGAAAAGCAGGGGAAGAGAACCUUACCUCGAAAGGGACUUCUGCUCCUGCCCUUUUUUGCACUCCCGAGGGCCUCCUGUUUCCAGUUCCCCUUGGGCUCAAGGAAAGGGCGAGGAGAGUCCUGCCUCUUCUCCCCUCCUGAGCCAACCUCACCAAGGUUGCAGUGCUGGGCUUUGAGCAGCUGAGGGCAUUGAUUUAAGGGAUGCAAAUGAGGGGGCUGUCUGUUGGAGGAAGCCGUCUUCUGGUGGGCAGAUAGGUCUGGGAGAAUUCUCCAUGAGCCUUGCUGGGGCUGGCUGGGCGGGAACAGGGAGGAGACCGGCCCAGCCUGGGAAGGACAAGGAGGCAAACCGCAGGAAAGCUCGGAGCGCGCAGGGCCAGGCGUCACCCUCUGCCCGGGGCCACGGAGGCAGGGGCAGGAAGAGUCUGCGAAUCCUCCUGCCGCCCGCCCCCUGCCCACAGGCCCAGCAAGGUGUGGUGAUUGGUGGAUGAAGAAAGGGAACUUGACCUACAGGCUGCAGGCUGAGUCUGUGCUGCCUUUGCUUGGGAGCUGGAGGAAGAGGGGAGAGGCAGAUGGGGAGACCGAGGGUAAGGAGCCCCAGCCACGCAACGGGGGGGCGGGGAGGCUCUGCCUGGCACUGGCUGGGCAGGCAAUGGGACACGUUGAGACUGAAGCUCGUGCCAGCCGCCUCCAGCCGAAGGAGGCAAGCCUGGGCAGGGCAGGCCCCAGACAGCCGGUCCCUGGAGCCACAGAGACACGAGCCAGUCAGGUCUGCGUGCUGGGAGGCCAGAGAGGCCAAGAGCAUUUAUCGGUCCUUCGGAGGGUGUCUGCCGCCUGCCUCUGAACUUGGCCUCCACCCCAGCAAUGGAGGAAAAGAGCUGUGGCACUUAAGCAUCAAGCCUCAAGCCUCAAGCCUCCAGAGGGACUCAAACAUGCCCCAGGGCCCCAGAGAAUGGCAGCGUUGGACUUCUCAGAACCUUCACUAUAUUGUGACUCUCCAGACGAAUGUGUACAGCAUGCAUUUUCCAGCCUCCUUUGAGGGACACCUGCCACUUCAGACAGGGCUGCAUGACACUACAGCAUCCCUCUAGGAUGGCAAAGCCAGGGCCGAAUGGAGAAGAAGAAGAGCGCUCUGAUCUCAAGUUCAGUGGGAGAGUCUCCUUCCUCCCCCUGCUUUUUCUCUCCCACAUGAUAGGCUGGCUGGGCAUCCGGGUUGGCAUCACCCUGGGGUUUCCUGACACAGAGGGUUCAGCUGUCCUGAGAGUGGACAACCUGUCCCUGACCACCCAGCGUUCUUCCCUUUAGGGACCACUGCUGCCCCCUGCACGUGGCUCUAGUAGCCUUCUCCCACAGCCUCACCUUCCCAUGGCACUAGAGAGAGAAACAAGGAGAUGUUUCGGAUAAAGAAAACAGAGCAUGUCAGAGGGUAGAAAGCAAAAUACAGAGGGUCAGUUAAGAUCCUCUGAGGGAGGGCACCUGGGUGGCUCAGUUGGUUGAGUGGCUGCCUUUGGCUCAGGUCAUGAUCUCAGAGUCCCAGGAUCGAGUCCCACGUCAGGCUCCCAGCUCCAUGGGGAGUCUGCUUCUCCCUCUGACCCUCUCCCCUCUCAUGCUCUCUCUCAUUCUCUCUCUCAAAAAAAUAAAGAAAAUCUUAAAAAAAAAAAAAAAAGAUCCUCUGGGGGAAGGGCGGGGCGCCUGGGGUAUUCAGUCAGUUAAGUUAAGCAUCUGCCUUUGGCUCAAGCCAUGAUCCCAGAAUUCUGGGAUGGAGCCCCACUUCAGGCUCCCUACUCAGCGCGGAGUCUGCUUCUCCCUCUCCUUCUGCUGCUUCCCCCUGCUCACGCACUCUCUCUCUCUCUCUCACACAUUCUCUUUCAAAUAAAUAAAUAAAAUCUUAAAAAAAAAAAAAAGUCCU